CCUACGGGUGGCAGCAGUGGGGAAUAUUGCACAAUGGGGGAAACCCUGAUGCAGCGACGCCGCGUGAGUGAAGAAGUAUCUCGGUACGUAAAGCUCUAUCAGCAGGGAAGAAAAUGACGGUACCUGACUAAGAAGCCCCGGCUAACUACGUGCCAGCAGCCCGGGUAAUACGUAGGGGGCAAGCGUUAUCCGGAUUUACUGGGUGUAAAGGGAGCGUAGACGGCAGCACAAGUCCGGAGUGAAAUCCCGGGGCUUAACCCCGGACCAGCCUUUGAAACUGGGCGACUGGAGUGCAGGAGGGGUAAGCGGAAUUCCUAGUGUAGCGGUGAAAUGCGUAGAUAUUAGGAGGAACACCGGUGGCGAAGGCGGCUUACUGGCCUGUAACUGACGUUGAGGCUCGAAAGCGUGGGGAGCAAACAGGAUUAGAUACCCCAGUAGUC
rnacentral:rRNA from 1 species